AGAUAUGUGAUAGGUUUAUUAACCGUAGGAUGGCGCAUAAGUUCUAUGACAAAGCUCUAACGAUUGGCCUAAAAGGUUAUGCUCAGUUGCACCAGACCGUCAUAUCCCAUCUUGCAGAUUGGGAAGGCAUUGAAAAGUCACGUUCUGUUCGAGACUUCAACAAUUAUGCAACUAGAGUCCUUCGAAAAUAUAAGGUAUAAUCUUUUGACUUAUUGUCACAUGCUCAAAUUGUUUGCUGAGGAUAUUCACUUGUUUCCCAGACGGUGGAUGCAUAUUGCAGGCACAACAGUAGCACUAAUUUUGUGGGUAAUGUAAUGGUGCCACUUCUUUGCAUCAGUGCUCUAGAUGAUCCAGUCUGCACAAGAGAAGCCAUCCCUUGGGAUGAAUGCAGGUUCUCCAAUCCAAUAGAGAAACACAUCAGAAUAAAUUCCCAUGCCCUACCUUGUUUUUGUUCAUUGCAUGGUUUCCUGAUGGAAAUCAAAAGCUUUCAUAGCAGUGACUUGAGCUUAUCUUUGAACGAUUGGAAGGUUGUUACCUGUAGUUAAUGAUUUCUACAUUAGCCACUUCCCUUCACAGGAAGGGAAAAUUAACAAAUGCAAGUUGUUGCAUUGGGAGGGGACGAACUUGGUAGUUGCAGAAGGCCAAAUUGCAUCAAGGGAUCCCAAGUCAAAGGUGCAUCAUGUGACUCUUGGACCUUUAUGUUGGAAAGUAUGGGUGAACCACAUAACAGUCAAUGUGCCGUUGUUUCGUUCUGCUCAUGAAAUGUAUGAUCUUCAAGAUGCAAUAGGAAGUACAGUUGCAUGACCUAGUCAAUUCAUUCUUUUGGACUAAAUAUUAGACUAAGUGAUUUACAAUUUGUAGUUAUACUUUUUGGAUGUUUAAAGUCGUAUUUUAGAGAUUAGUGAAUCUUAUGAUUUGAAUACUUUUUUUGAUUUGUAUGUUUGAGGUUGUUAUUAGCUUGAUAUGAUAGAAGUUAAGGAUGAAAGUUAGUAUGCA